rnacentral:rRNA from 1 species
UAGGGAAUAUUGGUUAAUGUGCGAAAGCGCGAACCAGCAACGCCGCGUGUGCGAUGAAGGCCUUCGGGUUGUAAAGCACUUUUCGAGGGGAUGAGGAAGGACAGUACCCUCGGAAUAAGCCUCGGCUAACUACGUGCCAGCAGCCGCGGUAAAACGUAGGAGGCGAGCGUUAUCCGGAUUUACUGGGCGUAAAGCGCGUGCAGGCGGUUGUGUAAGUUGGAUGUGAAAGCUCCUGGCUUAACUGGGAGAGGUCGUUCAAUACUGCACAACUAGAGGAUGGGAGAGGGAGGCGGAAUUCCGGGUGUAGUGGUGAAAUGCGUAGAUAUCCGGAGGAACACCAGUGGCGAAAGCGGCCUCCGUGGCCCAUAACUGACCGCUCAUACGCGAAAGCUAGGGUAGC